rnacentral:SRP_RNA from 1 species
UUCAGAGGCGGUGGCGCGUGCCUGUAAUCCAAGCUACUGGGAGGCUGAGGCUGGUAGAUCGGUUGAACUCAGGACCUCUGAGCUGCAGUGGACUGUGCUGAUCGGGUGUCCGCACUAAGUUCGGUAUAGAUAUGGUGGUCCUGGGGAAGAAUGGGACCACCAGGUCACCUAAGGAGGGGUGCAUCGGCCCAGGCCGGAAACGGAGCAGGUCAAAGCCCCCGUACUGCUCUGUAGUGGGAUCACACCUGUGAAUAGAUGCCGUAGUUCAGCCUGAGUAAUACAGCGGGACCCAGUCUUUU